AUUAAUAGCAUUCCAAAAGGGAAAUCUAAACUGCAGGCAUUAGGUGUCCUCCAUUACAUCUUAUACGAAUAUUAAGGACAAAAAAAUAUCUACCAGGUGAGGUUCAACACAUAACCUAUACAACCAAUCCAAGAUAUAAACCUUCUCACAUCCCUAAAGGCUAACACUAGGGGAAAGGCGUAACCAAAAACACCCUGUAAAGAGAGAUCU
rnacentral:misc_RNA from 1 species